rnacentral:rRNA from 1 species
CGGGGCUUUUCGGAUUCCCACCUACCCCCCCUACUGCCGUCGUCGACAUAAUCCACCCAUUUCACCCGUCUUGAAACACGGACCAAGGAGUCUAAUGGAUAUGUGAGUGUUAGGGUGGCAAACCCCAGCGCGCAAUGAAAGUGAAUGAUUCGUUCAGAAUCGACCGAACUUGAUUUUUAUGACAGUUUUGAGUAAACACAUCCAUUGGGACCCGAAAGAUGGUGAACUAUGCCUGAAUAGGGUGAAGUCAGAGGAAACUCUGAUGGAGGCUCGUAGCGGUUCUGACGUGCAAAUCGAUCGUAGAAUUUGGGUAUAGGGGCGAAAGACUAAUCGAACCAUCUAGUAGCUGGUUCCUGC